UGCGAAAGCGUGGGGAGCAAACAGGAUUAGAUACCUGGUAGUCACGCUGUAAACGAUGUCGAUUUGAGGUUGUUCCCUUGAGGAGUGGCUUCCGGAGCUAACGCGUUAAAUCGACCGCUGGGGAGUACGGCCGCAAGGUUAAAACUCAAAUGAAUUGACGGGGGCCCGCACAAGCGGUGGAGCAUGUGGUUUAAUUCGAUGCAACGCGAAGAACCUUACCUACUCUUGACAUCCAGAGAAUUUAGCAGAGAUGCUUUAGUGCCUUCGGGAACUCUGAGACAGGUGCUGCAUGGCUGUCGUCAGCUCGUGUUGUGAAAUGUUGGGUUAAGUCCCGCAACGAGCGCAACCCUUAUCCUUUGUUGCCAGCACAUUAUGGUGGGAACUCAAAGGAGACUGCCGGUGAUAAACCGGAGGAAGGUGGGGAUGACGUCAAGUCAUCAUGGCCCUUACGAGUAGGGCUACACACGUGCUACAAUGGCGUAUACAAAGAGAAGCGACCUCGCGAGAGCAAGCGGAACUCAUAAAGUACGUCGUAGUCCGGAUUGGAGUCUGCAACUCGACUCCAUGAAGUCGGAAUCGCUAGUAAUCGUAGAUCAGAAUGCUACGGUGAAUACGUUCCCGGGCCUUGUACACACCGCCCGUCACACCAUGGGAGUGGGUUGCAAAAGAAGUAGGUAGCUUAACCUUCGGGAGGGCGCUUACCACUUUGUGAUUCAUGACUGGGGUGAAGUCGUAACAAGGUAACCA
rnacentral:rRNA from 1 species